AGUGAACGCUGGCGGUAGGCCUAACACAUGCAAGUCGAACGGCAGCACAGUAAGAGCUUGCUCUUACGGGUGGCGAGUGGCGGACGGGUGAGGAAUACAUCGGAAUCUACUUUUUCGUGGGGGAUAACGUAGGGAAACUUACGCUAAUACCGCAUACGACCUACGGUUGAAAGCAGGGGAUCUUCGGACCUUGCGCGAUUGAAUGAGCCGAUGUCGGAUUAGCUAGUUGGCGGGGUAAAGGCCCACCAAGGCGACGAUCCGUAGCUGGUCUGAGAGGAUGAUCGGCCACACUGGAACUGAGACACGGUCCAGACUCCUACGGGAGGCAGCAGUGGGGAAUAUUGGACAAUGGGCGCAAGCCUGAUCCAGCCAUACCGCGUGGGUGAAGAAGGCCUUCGGGUUGUAAAGCCCUUUUGUUGGGAAAGAAAAGCAGCAGGUUAAUACCCCGCUGUUCUGACGGUACCCAAAGAAUAAGCACCGGCUAACUACGUG
rnacentral:rRNA from 1 species